rnacentral:rRNA from 1 species
CCGUAACACGUGGCCAAACUACCCUAUGGAUCGGAAUAACCUCGGGAAACUGAGGCUAAUACCGAAUACCGCUCUCAUCCUGGAACUGGAGAGAGCACCAAACGCUCCGGCGCCAUAGGAUGUGGCUGCGGCCGAUUAGGUAGACGGUGGGGUAACGGCCCACCGUGCCGAUAAUCGGUACGGGUUGUGAGAGCAAGAGCCCGGAGACGGUAUCUGAGACAAGAUACCGGGCCCUACGGGGCGCAGCAGGCGCGAAACCUUUACACUGCACGAACGUGCGAUAAGGGGACUCCAAGUGCGAGGGCAUACAGUCCUCGCUUUUCUGUACCGUAAGGUGGUACAGGAAUAAGAGCUGGGCAAGACCGGUGCCAGCCGCCGCGGUAAUACCGGCAGCUCGAGUGAUGGCCAAUAUUAUUGGGCCUAAAGCGUCCGUAGCUGGCCGAACAGGUCCGUCGGGAAAUCCGCUCGCUCAACGAGCGGACGUCCGGCGGAAACCAGUCGGCUUGGGACCGGAAGACCCGAGGGGUACGGCCGGGGUAGGAGUGAAAUCCUGUAAUCCUGGCCGGACCACCGGUGGCGAAAGCGCCUCGGGAAGACGGAUCCGACAGUGAGGGACGAAAGCUAGGGUCACGAACCGGAUUAGAUACCCGGGUAGUCCUAGCUGUAAACGAUGCUCGCUAGGUGUGGCACUG